CGGGGCGUAGCGCAGCUCGGUUAGCGCACUUGUCUGGGGGACAAGGGGUCGCUGGUUCAAAUCCAGUCGCCCCGACCA
rnacentral:tRNA from 1 species